AUACGUAGGGGGCGAGCGUUGUCCGGAAUGAUUGGGCGUAAAGGGCGCGUAGGCAGCGCGGUAAGUCUGGAGUGAAAGUCCUGCUUUCAAGGUGGGAAUUGCUUUGGAUACUGCCGCGCUUGAGUGCAGGAGAGGUUAUCGGAAUUCCCGGUGUAGCGGUGAAAUGCGUAGAGAUCGGGAGGAACACCAGUGGCGAAGGCGGGUAAUAGGACUGCAACUGACGCUGAGGCUCGAAAGUGUGGGGAGCAAACAGGAUUAUAUACCCUGGUAGUCCACACUGUAAACGAUGAAUGCUAGGUGUAAGAGGUAUCGACCCCUGUUGUUCCGGAGUCAACACAAUAAGCAUUCCGCCUGGGGAGUACGGCCGCAAGGUGGAAACUCAAAGGAAUUGACGGGG
rnacentral:rRNA from 1 species